CGCCUCUUGCCUCCCAUAAGAGGUCCAGCCUGCCCAGUGACUCUGUUCAACGGCCGCGGUAUCCUAACCGUGCGAAGGUAGCGUAAUCACUUGUUCUUUAAAUGAGGACUAGUAUGAAUGGCCCCACGAAGGCUACGCUGUCUCCUUUUUCUAAUCAAUGAAACUAAUCUCCUCGUGAAGAAGCGAGAAUAAUUUUAUAAGACGAGAAGACCCUAUGGAGCUUUAAACAACUGAAAAAUUGCAUACUUUCAUCUCCUACCUCCCGAGACUUUCCUUUUAUUCAAGCACUUUUAUUUCCAGUUUUAGGUUGGGGUGACCACGGAGCAAAAUCUAACCUCCACGACGAAAAAGGCCCUCUUUUAGCUAAAAGCUACUCCUUUAAGCAUCAGCAAACUGACUUCUUUUGACCCAAUAAAUUGAUCAACGAACCAAGUUACCCUAGGGAUAACAGCGCAAUCUACUUUAAGAGCUCAUAUCGACAGGUAGGUUUACGACCUCGAUGUUGGAUCAGGGUAUCCUAGUGGUGCAGCCGCUACUAAAGGUUCGUUUGUUCAACGAUUAAAACCCU
rnacentral:rRNA from 1 species